AACUGUUACCACUAGAUGAAUUCAUAGUCUAGUUGGAGGUAAACGCUGUGAACUGAAACAUCUCAUUAGCAGCAGGAAUAUAAAGAAAUUUCGAUUCCCUAAGUAGCGGCGAGCGAACGGGGAACAGCCCAAACCAAAGUGCUUGCACUUUGGGGUUGUAGGACUGAACAUUUGAGUUACCAAAGAACUUGAUAGUCGAAGGAUUUGGGAAAAUCCGCCAUAGAUGGUGAUAGCCCAGUAGAUUAAAUCAAAUUCUCUCAGUUCAGGAUCCUGAGUACGGCGGAACACGUGAAAUUCCGUCGGAAUCCGGGAGGACCAUCUCCCAAGGCUAAAUACUACCUAGUGACCGAUAGUGAACCAGUACCGUGAGGGAAAGGUGAAAAGCACCCCGGGAGGGGAGUGAAAUAGUUCCUGAAACCAUGUGCCUACAAUAAGUCAGAGCGCGUUAAUGCGUGAUGGCGUGCCUUUUGUAGAAUGAACCGGCGAGUUAUGAUCCCGUGCAAGGUUAAGACUAAAAAGUCGGAGCCGUAGCGAAAGCGAGUCUGAAAUGGGCGUUUUGAGUACGAGGUUAUAGACCCGAAACCAGGUGACCUAUCCAUGUCCAGGUUGAAGGUGCGGUAAAACGCACUGGAGGACCGAACCCGUGUAAGUUGAAAAUUGCUGGGAUGAGGUGUGGAUAGCGGUGAAAUUCCAAACGAACUUGGAGAUAGCUGGUUCUCUCCGAAAUAGCUUUAGGGCUAGCCUCGGAAUUAGGAUCAUGGAGGUAGAGCACUAUUUGGACUAGGGGCCCGUCUUGGGUUACUGAAUUCAGAUAAACUCCGAAUGCCAUUGAUUCAUAUCCGGGAGUCAGACGAUGAGUGAUAAGAUCCACCGUCGAAAGGGGAACAGCCCAGACCAUCAGUUAAGGUCCCUAAAUGUAUGCUAAGUGGAAAAGGAUGUGGAGUUGCAUAGACAACUAGGAUGUUGGCUCAGAAGCAGCCACCAUUUAAAGAGUGCGUAAUAGCUCACUAGUCGAGUGAUCCUGCGCCGAAAAUGUACCGGGGCUAAGCAUACUACCGAAACCAUGGAUGCGACCAUUAGGUCGCGUGAUAGGAGAGCGUUCUAAGGGCGGUGAAGCAAGAUCGUGAGGACUUGUGGAGCGCUUAGAAGUGAGAAUGCCGGUAUGAGUAGCGAAAGAUAGGUGAGAAUCCUAUCCACCGAAUGACUAAGGUUUCCUGGGGAAGGCUCGUCCUCCCAGGGUUAGUCGGGACCUAAGUCGAGGCCGAGAGGCGUAGACGAUGGAUAACAGGUUGAGAUUCCUGUACUAGUUAAGUGCGUUUGAGCAAUGGAGGGACGCAGGAGGCUAAGAUGUGCAUUCUGUUGGAUUAGAAUGUCCAAGCAGUAAGUCUUGUGAAGAGUCAAAUGCUUUUCACUUUAAGGACAAGCUGUGAUGGGGAGCGAAAUUUAGUAGCGAAGCGUCUGAUGUCACACUGCCGAGAAAAGCUUCUAGUGAGUACUUAACUACCCGUACCGCAAACCGACACAGGUAGUCGAGGAGAGAAUCCUAAGGUGAGCGAGUGAACUCUCGUUAAGGAACUCGGCAAAAUGACCCCGUAACUUCGGGAGAAGGGGUGCUGAUCGCAAGAUCAGCCGCAGUGAAUAGGCCCAGGCGACUGUUUAUCAAAAACACAGGUCUCUGCAAAAUCGUAAGAUGACGUAUAGGGGCUGACGCCUGCCCGGUGCUGGAAGGUUAAAAGGAUGGGUUAGCUUCGGCGAAGCUCAGAAUUGAAGCCCCAGUAAACGGCGGCCGUAACUAUAACGGUCCUAAGGUAGCGAAAUUCCUUGUCGGGUAAGUUCCGACCCGCACGAAAGGCGUAACGAUCUGGGCACUGUCUCAACGAGAGACUCGGUGAAAUUAUAUUGUCCGUGAAGAUGCGGACUACCCGCGACAGGACGGAAAGACCCCAUGGAGCUUUACUGUAGCUUGAUAUUGAGUGUUUGUACAGCUUGUACAGGAUAGGUAGGAGCCAUAGAAACCGGAACGCUAGUUUCGGUGGAGGCGUUGGUGGGAUACUACCCUCGCUGUAUGACCACUCUAACCCGCACCACUAAUCGUGGUGGGAGACAGUGUCAGGUGGGCAGUUUGACUGGGGCGGUCGCCUCCUAAAAAGUAACGGAGGCGCCCAAAGGUUCCCUCAGAAUGGUUGGAAAUCAUUCGCAGAGUGUAAAGGCACAAGGGAGCUUGACUGCGAGACAGACAGGUCGAGCAGGGACGAAAGUCGGGCUUAGUGAUCCGGUGGUACCGUAUGGAAGGGCCAUCGCUCAACGGAUAAAAGCUACCCUGGGGAUAACAGGCUUAUCUCCCCCAAGAGUCCACAUCGACGGGGAGGUUUGGCACCUCGAUGUCGGCUCAUCGCAUCCUGGGGCUGUAGUCGGUCCCAAGGGUUGGGCUGUUCGCCCAUUAAAGCGGUACGCGAGCUGGGUUCAGAACGUCGUGAGACAGUUCGGUCCCUAUCCGUCGCGGGCGUAGGAAAUUUGAGAGGACCUGUCCUUAGUACGAGAGGACCGGGAUGGACAUACCUCUGGUGUACCAGUUGUGCCGCCAGGCGCAUCGCUGGGUAGCUACGUAUGGAUGUGAUAAACGCUGAAAGCAUCUAAGUGUGAAACACACCUCGAGAUGAGAUUUCCCAUUCCUUUAUGGAAGUAAGACCCCUGAAAGAUGAUCAGGUAGAUAGGUUAGAAGUGGCAGUGCGGUGACGCAUGAAGCGGACUAAUACUAAUCGGUCGAGGACUUAACCAA
rnacentral:rRNA from 1 species